UUUUCUCCAUUCUUGAGCUUUGCCAUGUCAAAUAACACUUGUUCCAACAUGAAUGAAGUGUAUCCAACUCUCUCCCACCUCCAAAUCCAUAAAAUCAAGCACAGUUGACCACAAUUGACUUUUUCAACUGAUAGAUGAAUUUGGCAAUGCACUGAUCAAUCUGAGCCCCAAUUCUCUGAUGAAAUGGCUCAAGGAUGAAACCCU
rnacentral:lncRNA from 1 species